GGUUAAGUGACUAAGCGUAUACGGUGGAUGCCUUGGCAGUCAGAGGCGAUGAAGGACGUAGUAACUUGCGAAAAGCGUUGGCGAGCUAGUAACAAGCAUUUGAGCUAACGAUGUCCGAAUGGGGAAACCCACUCACAUAAGUGAGUAUCAUAUACUGAAUACAUAGGUAUAUGAGGCAAACCCGGGGAACUGAAACAUCUAAGUACCCGGAGGAACAGAAAUCAACCGAGAUUCCCCUAGUAGCGGCGAGCGAACGGGGAUUAGCCCUUAAGUCUAUGGGGUGUUAGUGGAAUGAGUUGGAAAGCUCAGCGGCACAGGGUGAUAGCCCCGUACAUGAAAACUAACCAUAGAUGAAAACGAGUAGGACGGGACACGUGACAUCUUGUCUGAACAUGGGGGGACCAUCCUCCAAGGCUAAAUACUCCUGACUGACCGAUAGUGAACCAGUACCGUGAGGGAAAGGCGAAAAGAACCCCUGUGAGGGGAGUGAAAUAGAACCUGAAACCGUAUACGUACAAGCAGUGGGAGCGGUUCCAUUCUUCGGAAUAAGAGACCGUGACUGCGUACCUUUUGUAUAAUGGGUCAGCGACUUACAUUUUGUAGCGAGGUUAAGCGAAUAGCGGAGCCGUAGGGAAACCGAGUGUUAACUGCGCGUAUCUUUAAUUAGAGAAGUUGCAAGGUGUAGACCCGAAACCCGGUGAUCUAUCCAUGGGCAGGUUGAAGGUUGAGUAACAUCAACUGGAGGACCGAACCGACUUAUGUUGAAAAAUGAGCGGAUGACUUGUGGAUGGGGGUGAAAGGCCAAUCAAACCGGGAGAUAUCUGGUUCUCCUCGAAAGCUAUUUAGGUAGCGCCUCGAGCGAAUACCAUUGGGGGUAGAGCACUGUUAAGGCUAGGGGGUCAUCCCGACUUACCAACCCUUUGCAAACUCCGAAUACCAAUGAGUACUACUCGGGAGACACACGGCGGGUGCUAACGUCCGUCGUGGAAAGGGAAACAACCCAGACCAUCAGCUAAGGUCCCAAAGUUAUUGCUAAGUGGGAAACGAUGUGGGAAGGCUUAGACAGCUAGGAUGUUGGCUUAGAAGCAGCCAUCAUUUAAAGAAAGCGUAAUAGCUCACUAGUCGAGUCGGCCUGCGCGGAAGAUUUAACGGGGCUAAGCAAUACACCGAAGCUAUGGGUUUGCUAGUUUACUGGCAAGCGGUAGAGGAGCGUUCUGUAAGCCGUUGAAGGCGAAGGGGUAACCCACGCUGGAGGUAUCAGAAGUGCGAAUGCUGACAUGAGUAACGAUAAAGGGAGUGAAAAACUCCCUCGCCGAAAGACCAAGGUUUCCUGUCCAAUGUUAAUCAGGGCAGGGUAAGUCGACCCCUAAGGUGAGGCCGAAAGGCGUAAUCGAUGGGAAACAGGUUAAUAUUCCUGUACUUCUGCUAACUGCGAUGGAGAGACGGAGAAGGCUAGGCUAGCGCGGCGUUGGUUGUCCGCGUUUAAGGUUGUAGGUUGUAUUCUUAGGCAAAUCCGGGGAUACGCAUUAAAUUGCAAGACUGAGGACUGAUGACGAGACCCUAAGGGGUUGAAGUAGUUGAUGCCAUGCUUCCAGGAAAAUCUUCUAAGCUUCAGGUUAGUAGGAAUCGUACCCCAAACCGACACAGGUGGUUGGGUAGAGAAUACCAAGGCGCUUGAGAGAACUCGGCUGAAGGAACUAGGCAAAAUGGUACCGUAACUUCGGGAGAAGGUACGCUCCUA
rnacentral:ncRNA from 1 species